GAUGAACGCUGGCGGCGUGCCUAAUACAUGCAAGUCGAGCGAACGGACGAGAAGCUUGCUUCUCUGAUGUUAGCGGCGGACGGGUGAGUAACACGUGGAUAACCUCCCUAUAAGACUGGGAUAACUUCGGGAAACCGGAGCUAAUACCGGAUAAUAUUUUGAACCGCAUGGUUCAAAAGUGAAAGACGGUCUUGCUGUCACUUAUAGAUGGAUCCGCGCUGCAUUAGCUAGUUGGUAAGGUAACGGCUUACCAAGGCAACGAUGCAUAGCCGACCUGAGAGGGUGAUCGGCCACACUGGAACUGAGACACGGUCCAGGCUCCUACGGGAGGCAGCAGUAGGGAAUCUUCCGCAAUGGGCGAAAGCCUGACGGAGCAACGCCGCGUGAGUGAUGAAGGUCUUCGGAUCGUAAAACUCUGUUAUUAGGGAAGAACAUAUGUGUAAGUAACUGUGCACAUCUUGACGGUACCUAAUCAGAAAGCCACGGCUAACUACGUG
rnacentral:rRNA from 1 species